rnacentral:rRNA from 1 species
UACGUAGGGGGCAAGCGUUGUCCGGAUUUAUUGGGCGUAAAGAGCGUGUAGGCGGCCACACAGGUCAGCUGUGAAAACUCGAGGCUCAACCUCGAGACGUCGGUUGAAACCGUAUGGCUAGAGUCCGGAAGAGGAGAGUGGAAUUCCCGGUGUAGCGGUGAAAUGCGCAGAUAUCAGGAGGAACACCGAUGGCGAAGGCAGGUCUCUGGGCAUUAACUGACGCUGAGGGGCGAAAGCAUGGGGAGCGAACAGG